AGAGUUUGAUCAUGGCUCAGGAUGAACGCUAGCGGCAGGCCUAACACAUGCAAGUCGAGGGGUAGAGUAAGCUUGCCUACUUGAGACCGGCGCACGGGUGCGUAACGCGUAUGCAAUCUACCUUAUACUAAGGGAUAGCCCAGAGAAAUUUGGAUUAAUACCUUAUAGUUAAUUUAGUUGGCAUCAAUUGAAUUAUAAAGAUUUAUUGGUAUAAGAUGAGCAUGCGUCCCAUUAGUUAGUUGGUAAGGUAACGGCUUACCAAGACGAUGAUGGGUAGGGGUCCUGAGAGGGAGAUCCCCCACACUGGUACUGAGACACGGACCAGACUCCUACGGGAGGCAGCAGUGAGGAAUAUUGGACAAUGGGCGCAAGCCUGAUCCAGCCAUGCCGCGUGCAGGAUGAAGCAUCUAUGGUGUGUAAACUGCUUUUGUACGGGAAGAAAAAAAGCUACGUGUAGCUUACUGACGGUACCGUAAGAAUAAGGAUCGGCUAACUCCGUGCCAGCAGCCGCGGUAAUACGGAGGAUCCAAGCGUUAUCCGGAAUCAUUGGGUUUAAAGGGUCCGUAGGCGGCCUUAUAAGUCAGCGGUGAAAGUUUUUGGCUUAACCAAAAAAUUGCCAUUGAUACUGUAGGGCUUGAAUAUUUGUGAAGUAACUAGAAUAUGUAGUGUAGCGGUGAAAUGCUUAGAUAUUACAUGGAAUACCAAUUGCGAAGGCAGGUUACUAACAAAUGAUUGACGCUGAUGGACGAAAGCGUGGGUAGCGAACAGGAUUAGAUACCCUGGUAGUCCACGCCGUAAACGAUGGAUACUAGCUGUUUGGGAUUAAUUCUGAGUGGCUAAGCGAAAGUGAUAAGUAUCCCACCUGGGGAGUACGGCCGCAAGGUUGAAACUCAAAGGAAUUGACGG
rnacentral:rRNA from 1 species